UGGGGAAUAUUGGACAAUGGGCGCAAGCCUGAUCCAGCCAUGCCGCGUGUGUGAAGAAGGCCUUUUGGUUGUAAAGCACUUUAAGCGAGGAGGAGGCUACUUGGAUUAAUACUCUAGGAUAGUGGACGUUACUCGCAGAAUAAGCACCGGCUAACUCUGUGCCAGCAGCCGCGGUAAUACAGAGGGUGCGAGCGUUAAUCGGAUUUACUGGGCGUAAAGCGUGCGUAGGCGGCUUCUUAAGUCGGAUGUGAAAUCCCUGAGCUUAACUUAGGAAUUGCAUUCGAUACUGGAAGCUAGAGUAUGGGAGAGGAUGGUAGAAUUCCAGGUGUAGCGGUGAAAUGCGUAGAGAUCUGGAGGAAUACCGAUGGCGAAGGCAGCCAUCUGGCCUAAUACUGACGCUGAGGUACGAAAGCAUGGGGAGCAAACAGG
rnacentral:rRNA from 1 species